CUCUGGUGUGGCUUGGAUUUGGGGGGUUUGCAGGCUUUCAAGUCGGCUCUCCUGAAAAAGAUUAGCGGUAUCUGAGCAGAAACCAAGCCUCGGGCGUGAUAAUUAUCUAUGCUUGGUGUAUAAUCUGUGUGGGCUGCUUAUAACCGGAGAGUGUUGACAGAUUUGACCUCAAAUCAGGUAGGACUACCCGCUGAACUUAA
rnacentral:misc_RNA from 1 species